rnacentral:rRNA from 1 species
AAGCAACGGAGGGGAGCGCGGCGGCGGGAGGCUCUUCGUGGGGCCGGCGACGACGAGGCGCAGCACGGCUCGAACGGAGGAGACGACGAGAGGGGCAGCUAGAGCGGGGAGCGGUGGCCGGGAGUUCAAAACCUCCCAGUUCCACCUGUUCCUCUAGGUACUCGUCGGCGGCGGCGGGCAGGAGGAUGAAGCGGUAGUUCCUCUCCUCGUAUCCUCGUACAGGAGUGCAAGCACAAGGAGGCUCUUCUCCUGUUUAGCUCCGUUCACAGCCUUGCUCCUCUGCUCAGACCACCUCUACUACUCUCCUUGCCUCUGUUCCUACCGCUGAACUACGAGGAGCCUCUGGAGGAGACCUCUACAACUCCAAACUGGUCACACCGGUGGUAACCCCCUCAGGUGAUUGGCUCCGGGGUGAUCUACUGUUUGGUGUGGUAUAGGUAUACUUAGGGUUCAAUUAAGGGGUGGCCUAUUUUACACCGGUACCGACUGGAUUAUGACCGACUCACUAUCCUAACAAGACGUAUGAUCUUCCACUUUGAGACAACGGGACAUUCUUUUAAACAAACAUCACCUAAAUAGAACUAAACCAAGAUUUUCCUUCUCUGACUCUCUCCUAGUACAAGAACGACUCCAAGUCAAGAGAUUCAACCAUCACAAAUUUGCUGUGUGUUGUAAAAAUUUGUAGAGGAGGGUCGAAGUACCUUUAAAGUGACAGAUAACGUAGUUGUGACAGAUGACCGUACACAACGUGGAAACUAGUACUAGUCUUAUAUUAAACUAACGGAGACCUACAAAAGAACAUAUACGACCUAGAUUAUUUAUUGUGAAAAUAGAUGAGCGGAUUAACAAAAUAAAAGUGACAAGACGUCCCAAACCAACCUACAACGUUGGGGUGAUACCAAGAUUGAAACAGAUGGAGACAAAUCUUACGUUAACUCUUAACCAGUUAUUUGUAAGUGACCCUCAAUCCCCGACGAUGCCAAUACACGAACUAACCAAAACAAUCAAGGUAGGUCUAACACGAAACGUCCGAGAAAGUAAAGUAUAGACCCGCUGCUCCCGCCGAAGCUGCCCCAGAUGUGCUGUAAACAGGCGUACGAGCUACGAUUCCCGGCGGUAGCGGCAGUUCCCUGAGUUGGUCGUGCCGGAGAUCCAGUCCUGUGAGGUGGAACGUAAGUGGAUACACGUCAAAUGAAAGUAGCAGUUGGUACACCGAAUUCAAUUCGAACCGGUCGUUUAAUGUACCGAGAAGUAGUCGCAGUACUAUUACAGCAGAUUGUUCGAGCGUACACCUACACGAUUACUAGCCCUAUACUACUUUCCGUUUCUGCUAACCGUACAAAACAGGCCAGACGACUUCAAAUCCACCCGUUCCAGUGUGUUAAACCCAAUAACUAUAGUAAAACCCUGUAAUAAAGCUUGUUGGAGAUAAAGAUUUACAAACGUUUCCGAUUAAACGUACCAAAAGUAAAAACCUCCAACAUGGUACCGACGAAAGUUAGAAAGGAAGACAUAAUAAAAACACACAAACGACCUCACUUAAAAUCAGAAACAAGUGAAAAGUAUAAUUGUAAAUUUUAUGGUACCUUUGCCUGGACCGGUAUAUAAACGUCAUAGUUCGUUUAGGAAAACAACAAAUAACAUUGGUGUAAGGACACAUAAUUUAAAUAAAGUCGAUACAUACGAAUCACAUAUACAUAUUUCACCCC